rnacentral:rRNA from 1 species
AUGAACGCUGGCGGCGUGCCUAAUACAUGCAAGUCGAGCGAACAGACGAGGAGCUUGCUCCUCUGACGUUAGCGGCGGACGGGUGAGUAACACGUGGAUAACCUACCUAUAAGACUGGGAUAACUUCGGGAAACCGGAGCUAAUACCGGAUAAUAUAUUGAACCGCAUGGUUCAAUAGUGAAAGACGGUUUUGCUGUCACUUAUAGAUGGAUCCGCGCCGCAUUAGCUAGUUGGUAAGGUAACGGCUUACCAAGGCAACGAUGCGUAGCCGACCUGAGAGGGUGAUCGGCCACACUGGAACUGAGACACGGUCCAGACUCCUACGGGAGGCAGCAGUAGGGAAUCUUCCGCAAUGGCCGAAAGCUUGACGGAGCAACGCCGCGUGAGUGAUGAAGGUCUUCGGAUCGUAAAACUCUGUUAUUAGGGAAGAACAAAUGUGUAAGUAACUAUGCACGUCUUGACGGUACCUAAUCAGAAAGCCACGGCUAACUACGUG